GUGCCAGCCGCCGCGGUAAUACGGAGGGGGCAAGCGUUGUUCGGAAUCACUGGGUGUAAAGGGUGCGUAGGCGGUCCGAUAAGUCUGAUGUGAAAGCCCUGGGCUCAACUCAGGAACUGCAUUGGAAACUGACGGACUGGAGUACCGGAGAGGGAAGCGGAAUUCCUGGUGUAGCGGUGAAAUGCGUAGAUACCAGGAGGAACACCGGUGGCGAAAGCGGUUUCCUGGCCGAGUACUGACGCUGAGGCACGAAAGCGUGGGGAGCGAACGGGAUUAGAUACCCGCGUAGUCC
rnacentral:rRNA from 1 species